CUACGGGCUGCAGCAGUGAGGAAUUUUGCGCAAUGGGGGAAACCCUGACGCAGCAACGCCGCGUGAGCGAAGAAGGCCUUCGGGUCGUAAAGCUCUGUCAAGUGGGAAAAAAGCCUUUUGAUUAAUACCCAAAAGGUUUGAUGGUACCACUGGUGGAAGCACCGGCUAACUCCGUGCCAGCAGCCGCGGUAAUACGGAGGGUGCAAGCGUUGUUCGGAUUUACUGGGCGUAAAGGGCGUGCAGGCGGUUUGGCAAGUCAGAUGUGAAAGCCCUGGGCUUAACCCGGGAAGUGCAUUUGAAACUGCCUUUCUUGAGUAUGGGAGAGGAGAGUGGAAUUCCCAGUGUAGAGGUGAAAUUCGUAGAUAUUGGGAGGAACACCCGUGGCGAAGGCGACUCUCUGGACCAAUACUGACGCUGAGACGCGAAAGCGUGGGGAGCAAACAGGAUUAGAUACCCGGGUAGUC
rnacentral:rRNA from 1 species